rnacentral:rRNA from 1 species
GACGAACGCUGGCGGCGUGCUUAACACAUGCAAGUCGAACGCUGAACCCGCUUCGGUGGGGGAUGAGUGGCGAACGGGUGAGUAACACGUGGGCAACCUGCCCCCGGCUCUGGGAUAACUCCAAGAAAUUGGGGCUAAUACCGGAUGUGACCGCUGGCCGCAUGGUCUGGUGGUGGAAAGGGUUUCCGGCUGGGGAUGGGCCCGCGGCCUAUCAGCUUGUUGGUGGGGUAGUGGCCUACCAAGGCGACGACGGGUAGCCGGCCUGAGAGGGUGACCGGCCACCCUGGGACUGAGACACGGCCCAGACUCCUACGGGAGGCAGCAGUGGGGAAUAUUGCGCAAUGGGCGGAAGCCUGACGCAGCGACGCCGCGUGGGGGAUGACGGCCUUCGGGUUGUAAACCUCUUUCAGCAGGGACGAAGCGCAAGUGGCGGUACCUGCAGAAGAAGCACCGGCCAACUACGUG